rnacentral:lncRNA from 1 species
AGGCCAGAGAUACAGAUGCCGAUCCUGAAAGCCGAUGGAGGAGAAGAGGAAGUUCCCCAUUUUUAAAGAGGGAAUCCCCAGGCCCAACCAUAGCUUACCCUGGCCACCUUGAUCCAGUGCUCCACCACCCUGGCCCUGUCCCGGGCCCUCAUGCUGUGGUCCCCGAGGCAGGAGGUGGUGAUGCAGUUGGUGAGCCUGUUGAAGUGUGCGAUGGUGGCACGAACUGUGGGUGCCAUGUGCUCAUUCCCCUUCAGAUGUCCUUGGCCCCAGAUGCAGCCCAAGCAUUCGUGGAGCACCACCUUCUUGAACAGCUCCUUUGGGGGAGGAGGAGAGUGUCACGGACACAGCACACUGCAGCUCAGAGUCACCCACAGUCCCAGGCAGGGACUGAGCUCACAGUCAUCCACGGUCUCUGGCAGGAACCAAGCUGGAGCUCAGAAAGCUUUAAAAUGGGCUCCAGACUUGUGGGAGUCCCUGGGUUUGGUUUUCUGCCCCCGAGGGACCUGAAUGCAUCAUGGCCUAGAACCCAACAAGGGUGGGAAGAGAGAGUGACAUUUUCUCCCAGGCCAUCCACACUCUAAGAACUAGAAGGUGGCUCAGGCCUGCCCAUCCUGAGGCCUCGUCUUCCUCCCAUCCCAAUCAGCCCUCUACUACUCCUCUCCGUACCGGUGCACUUUCCUUGUGGCAGCUGCAACUAUGGGCUCUGUUUGGGUGUCUACCAUAGAAUCCAGUAUGCAUCAGGUACCUAAUAAGUGCUGAGGGUAGUGAGGCUCCUGAGCAGCUGGGUGAGUGACCCAUGGCCCUGCCUGCCCCACAGUGAGCACCUGCCCUGCCCUGCUUUCUGUCCAUCUCCUGUCACUCAGUCUGCACAGUCACUCUGUGCAGCUGGCGCUGGUGAUGUCCCAUCUCUGCCGUCCACAUGCAGACAGGGAAGGCUUGUGGGUGAGGAAACUCAUCCAGAUCCCACGGUUGGUAAGAAGUGGGGCUGAAAUUGGACCGAGGGCAUUGGCUGCUCCUCAGGGAGAGGCUGGUCUGAGACAGCUGGUGCCAGAGACACAGCCUGCAAAGCUCAGCUGCUCACCGCAUCCAUGAGGGUCAGCUGCUCUGCCAGCAGCCUGGGAGGGAAGGUCGUCAUGUCAGGCAGCUCCUCACUGGGUUGGUUCUUUACAGACCCACGACAGGGACAGGAGGACUCUGGGGCUGACUGUGGCUCCAGCACUGUCCCUGGAGGGGGCCCUUCCCCUGGUGCUGGUGCUGGCCCUGGUGCUGAAUGUAGAUAUCCUGGUGGACCCAGGGCUGCAGGUGACUCUGGCUCCAGAGCAGGCCCCAGGUCCGCCAGCAGUGGUGGUGCUGGCUCCAGGGCCGGCAUUGUUAAUGCGUGUUGCCCAGGACGUGGAGCAGGAUCUGGAAAAGGAGAAAAGGUCACCACACCAGUCAUUUUUCACUGGGUUUUCCAAGCACAGAAAUGACCGGGUGGAAUUUAAGGGAAUUGUAGCCCCAAAACACCACCCCCGGAAAGUCUUGCAGACUGCAAGCCCCCUCACCAUCUGGCUUGGCCUCGUUGGGCUCCGGAAGCACCAACUGGCCUAGGACAAUUUCCUGAUGGUCCUCCAAGCCCAGUCCAGGCCAGGAGAGGUUCCUGAAGGCCAGCUUUAUCCGGAAAGAUGACCGUUGCGGGGGCUGAUAGUAAACUGAAGUGUUUUCGGGGGGCCAGUUGAACAAAAUGGAGGUGAUGGUGCUGGUGAUGGAGUAGACAGCUGAGUCAGAGGCCUGGCCUUCUCCCACACAACCCUCCAGGGCACCCCUGCGUGGUUCUGGGUCCCUGGCCUGUUGCUGCCAGUGUGGAGGACAGCCCCACCCUACCGUAAGCCAUCAGUGCUGUCCUGGAAGGGGCAGACCUGGCCAUACAGCAGGGCUGUACAGACCCUCGUGCGCCCUGGCGUCCCACAGACAUUCUCUUCCCAAAGGCCCUGGAGCACAGCACUGUACACCUGGGCACUCAAGACUGCAGCUGCAGGCAGAUUUGUGAGCAGCUUCCUCAUCAAAGCUCCAGAUCUGGGUCCCCUGGUCCUGGGGUUAGGAGGGAAGGGGCAGAUGUCGGGGGGAGGAGGACAGGGAGAGCUGGGAAGCCACGGUGCUGAGGGGGAUGGGUCUCUCAGUGGCCAGCUGUGACCCCAGCCUCCCCUCUGCUUUGCAGGGGACCUAAGUCUCCAUUUACAGAACUCACUAUUUGCCUCUUGUGGGGGAAGUCCCCAGAUGUCAGCCUUCUCGUGGGAAUUAUAAGAAGUAUGAGCCCCAGAGCUCCUUUAGUCUCUCCCCAGCCAGAGUCCACAUAUUUUCCCCCAUGUUUUGUGGGUGAAAAGGCCCUUCAGAACCCUAAAUCCACCCAGUUUAUAUUUGUUGCUGGGCUGCGUCAUUCUAGUCAGAAUCUGGGAGGAUGCCACCAUACGUAGAGGAGGCCAUGAGGGUCUCACCUGUAACAUUCUGUAGAUAUGACUUGUUUAUUCUGUCUACUGUGAGUGCCUGACUCUGAGUAGAAUCAAGGCCGGGGGAUUGUCAUCUGCUUUGUUUAUGAAAUUAUGCCAAGCCCCAAGAAGAGCGAUGCACAAAUGAGGUGUUUUGAAUGUAUGUGUUGAAUGAGUGAACCCCAACCUUUGGAGAACCCCAGUGAGCCUCUCCAGAUGUCUGAGUGGGCCUGUGGCUCCUUUUUCAGCACCAAGGGACCCCUCUUCUGUCUGUGUCAAGGAGAAAGACCAGCCAGAAGGAAUCUCAGACAUCCUUUACCAGUGCCAUCGCAGACUUGGUUUCUAUGUGUUUUUCCAAACAGUGAGUGAUACAGGCCAUUGAGGCAGAAUGCUGAGAGCUGCUUCAAGUGAGGGGGAAGAGAAAAGUAACAAACAUGAAUCACAGCACCCCCAGCAGAUUUUCCAGAGUUUUAGGCUCUAGGGACCCCUUUGUUUGCUGUGUCUUAGAUCAUUGAGUCCCUACAAGAACCCUGUGAGGUUCGUCUUCUCACUACUCCCUGUUCCAGAGGAGCCAACCGAGGCUCCGAGAGGUGCAUCUUCAAGACAGAGCCAGUAGGGGACAGAGGCACCUCUGUGUCUUGGAGGGGGAUGGACACUCACCUUCUAACCAGUAGUUCCAAAAAGUGUGGCACAGUGAUAAAGUCCCAGGAGGGGCCCAGGCAGGUGGCAUAGGAGGAGAUGGGUUUAGUUAGAAAGGCUGGAACCAGGGACUCCCAACAGCUUCUCCCCAGUGCCGGGCUGGAAAGUUAGCAUCCUGCAGAUCUCAUUUUCAUACUAGGGGGACAAGGAGGGACAUGGGAGUCAGUGGUAACACCAUGGACCACCAGAGGAUCGGGAUCUGGAACUCACACCAAGAAGCACCAACCCUUCAGGGACUUGUGCAUAUGGAGAACCUGGGUGCCCAUGGUGAAAAGCGUUCUAGGCUUUCAAAGUAACAUUGCAUGUGAGGAUGGAGAAUGAUAAAACGAUUCCUGCCUUCAAGGCAUCGUCCCGGUGUUUGUCAGCUGUGGGGCAACAGCACCCUCUGUGUCAGCAACCUGCAUGAAGAGCAUCAUCCCUGCAAGUCCUCAAGGCCUGGGGAGGCCUCAUCCCCUCCUCAUUUCAGCAACAGCACACAGGACAAUACGCUCUAGAAGAACUCUUUGACUUAAAGGUAUAUGAUUGUUUUUGUUCCUUUAACAUGAACGUGAGUCUGGAGAAACAGCUACGGCCAUCCCAGCCCUGGCCAAGGGGAAAAUGCCGGAAGACUCCAGGGUGGGAGGAAGCGCGUCCCAAGGCCCAGGAUCUGCGAGGCGACUUGGGGAAAACGCAGGACCUGCUGAAGCUCACACCCGUGGACCACCCAGACUGCCUGCCGCUACAGGAUGCCCUCCGCAUCUCCCAGGACUUCUUUCCGGCAUCAGUGUGGACAUUGACCCCACUGGACUGCAGUCACAGUGGACUCCCAAGGGGCAGGAUCCACCUCUGAUGUUCAGUGAAGACUACCAGAAAAGUCUGCUAGAGCAGUACCAUCUGGGUCUGGAUCAAAAACUCAGAAAAUACGUGGUUGGAGAGCUCAUCUGGAAUUUUGCCGAUUUCAUGACUAACCAGUGUGGUUGAGGAGUGGGCCCAGGGCACCUUCAAACUCAACCCCAAUGAUGAGGACAUCCACACAGCCAACAAGUGCCACCUGAAGGUGGUCACGGACCUCAGGUUGUGGAUGUGGCAGACCUGCUUCACGCUCUCGGGCCUCCUCUGGGAGCUCAUCAGGACUAUGGGGGAUUGGGCAGAGGUGUUCCUGCUCCAGCGUGGCUCCUGGACUGGCGCCAGAUGCUGGCCCUGGGGGUUUCAAUCCAAGCAUAAUUCAGUGAAGCAUGUGUUUGGCAGUGGGACCCAGCUCACUGUUUUAGGUCAGCCCAAGACUACCCCGUCGGUCAUUCUGUUCCUGCCGUCCUGUGAGGAGCCCCAAGCCAACAAGGCCACACUGGUGUGUCUCAUGAAUAACUUUAUCCGGGAAUCUUGAUGGUGACCUGGAAGGCAGAUGGUACCCUCAUCACCCAGAGCGUGGAGAAGACCACGCCCUCCAAACAGAGCAACAACAAGUACGUGGCCAGCAGCUACCUGAGCCUGACGCCCGAGCAGUGGAGGUCCCGCAGAAGCUACAGCUGCCAGGUUAUGCAAGAAGGGAGCACCGUGGAGAAGUCAGUGGCCCCUGCAGAAUGUUCAUAGGUUCCAGCCCCCACCCCACCCACAGGGGCCUGGAGCUGCAGGAUCCCAGGGGAGGGGUCUCUCUCUGCAUCCCAAGCCAUUCAGCCCUUCUCGCUGUACCCAGUAAACCCUCAAUAAAUAUCUUUGUCAGCCAGA